rnacentral:rRNA from 1 species
AGCAGCCGCGGUAAUUCCAGCCCCAAUAGCGUAUAUUAAAGUUGUUGCAGUUAAAAAGCUCGUAGUUGAAUUUCGGGAUCAAAUUGUUGGUCGUGCUUCGGUACGCACUGGCAUUAUUGGUUUCUACCUUCUGAAGAACCGCGAUGUCAUUAAUUUGGUGUCGUGGGGAAUCAGGACUGUUACUUUGAAAAAAUUAGAGUGUUUAAAGCAGGCGCACGCUUGAAUACAUUAGCAUGGAAUAAUGAAAUAGGACGUUUGAUUCUAUUUUGUUGGUUUCUAGGAUCGACGUAAUGAUUAAUAGGGAUAGUUGGGGGCAUUAGUAUUCAAUUGUCAGAGGUGAAAUUCUUGGAUUUAUUGAAGACUAACUACUGCGAAAGCAUUUGCCAAGGAUGUUUUCAUUAAUCAAGAACGAAAGUUAGGGGAUCGAAGACGAUCAGAUACCGUCGUAGUCUUAACCAUAAACUAUGCCGACUAGGGAUCGGAUGAUGUUAAUUUUAUAAUGACUC